rnacentral:rRNA from 1 species
UGGGGAAUUUUGGACAAUGGGCGAAAGCCUGAUCCAGCCAUGCCGCGUGCAGGAUGAAGGCCUUCGGGUUGUAAACUGCUUUUGUACGGAACGAAAAGACUCUGGUUAAUACCUGGGGUCCAUGACGGUACCGUAAGAAUAAGCACCGGCUAACUACGUGCCAGCAGCCGCGGUAAUACGUAGGGUGCAAGCGUUAAUCGGAAUUACUGGGCGUAAAGCGUGCGCAGGCGGUUAUAUAAGACAGAUGUGAAAAUCCCCGGGCUCAACCUGGGAACUGCAUUUGUGACUGUAUAGCUAGAGUACGGCAGAGGGGGGAUGGAAUUUCCGCGUGUAGCAGUGAAAUGCGUAGAUAUGCGGAGGAACACCGAUGGCGAAGGCAAUCCCCUGGGCCUGUACUGACGCUCAUGCACGAAAGCGUGGGGAGCAAACAGGAUUAGAUACCCUGGUAGUCCACGCCCUAAACGAUGUCAACUGGGUUGUUGGGUCUUCACUGACUCAGUAACGAAGCU